UGGGGAAUAUUGGACAAUGGGGGCAACCCUGAUCCAGCGAUGCCGCGUGUGUGAAGAAGGCCUGAGGGUUGUAAAGCACUUUAGUUGUUGAGGAAGGUUGUGUGGUGAAUACCCGCAUGACUUGACGGUAAACAAAGAAUAAGCACCGGCUAACUCUGUGCCAGCAGCCGCGGUAAUACAGAGGGUGCAAGCGUUAAUCGGAAUGACUGGGCGUAAAGGGUGCGUAGGCGGUUAAAUAAGUUAGAUGUGAAAUCCCCGGGCUUAACCUGGGAAUUGCAUUUAAUACUGUAUGACUAGAGUAGAGUAGAGGGAAGUGGAAUUUCCGGUGUAGCGUGAAUA
rnacentral:rRNA from 1 species